rnacentral:tRNA from 1 species
UGCUGAGUGGUGGAACACUUGCCUAGCAUGCAUGAGGCCCUGGGUUCAAUCCCCAGCACCGCAA